GAGAACUAUAAACCAUAGGGUGCAAUCUUUCCAUGCUCGACGGACAUAACAAUUCAUCAACACAGACCCAAACACAAACUCCUUCACACAGACACACACACACACACACACACACACACA